rnacentral:rRNA from 1 species
UACGAAGGGGGCUAGCGUUGUUCGGAAUUACUGGGCGUAAAGCGCACGUAGGCGGAUUGUUAAGUCGAACGUGAAAUCCCUGGGCUCAACCCAGGAACUGCGUCCGAUACUGGCAGGCUUGAAUCCGGGAGAGGGAUGUGGAAUUCCAGGUGUAGCGGUGAAAUGCGUAGAUAUCUGGAGGAACACCGGUGGCGAAGGCGGCAUCCUGGACCGGUAUUGACGCUGAGGCGCGAAAGCCAGGGGAGCAAACGGG